UCUUUCUUUGCUCUUGAAUCGGUAGCACCUCUCUUUCACUCUAUCACCAACAGCCCUCCUUCUCUCACCAAAACCAUAUAUAUCACUUUAAAGAAGAAAUUAAAAAGUUAACACUAAAGUUUCAACUUCAAAUUUUGUGGUGACGAGAAUGAAAAUGAGAACGUGGACACUUGAGCUCCUCUUAAACAAAUCUCUCGCGUCUUCUGUUUUCAGUGCACAGGUUCUUUCCUAGAAGCAGCGAGAGUAUGAGAGGUGGCAAGGAAUCUGUGAUUCUCGUUUGUUAGAAUGUAUAUAGUUUUUGUUAUAUAGUAAUUUAGCUCUUUUGUUGUAGAGGAGGAAUCAAGAUAUACUUGAUCCUUUUGAGCACAAAUGUACUUUAGAACCUUAGUUUGUUUUGAAUCCUAGUUUUAUGUCUUUGGGGUUAGGUUUGUAAAUAAAAGUUUUGCUAAAGGUUUUGUCAUGUAAUAAUUACUUGAAUACUUUAAGUUUCAACCAAGUUGUAAUCUUGCAAGUUCGAAAUGAAAUGAAGUUUCAAAGUUUUGACCAA